rnacentral:tRNA from 1 species
GGGAAAGUAGCUCAAGUAGAGCGGUUGCAAAAAUCGCAAUCCAAUGGGAGAGUAAGACGGGAUAAUUCGACAGCAGUUGGUGGUUCAAAUCCAUCCUUUCUCA